rnacentral:tRNA from 1 species
AGGGGUAUAGCUCAGUGGUAGAGCACAUGCUUAGCAUGCACAAGGUCCUGGGUUCAAUCACCAGUACUUCCA